AGUGGACGCUGGCGGUAGGCCUAACACAUGCAAGUCGAACGGCAGCACAGUAAGAGCUUGCUCUUACGGGUGGCGAGUGGCGGACGGGUGAGGAAUACAUCGGAAUCUACUUUUUCGUGGGGGAUAACGUAGGGAAACUUACGCUAAUACCGCAUACGACCUACGGGUGAAAGCAGGGGAUCUUCGGACCUUGCGCGAUUGAAUGAGCCGAUGUCGGACUAGCUAGUUGGCGGGGUAAAGGCCCACCAAGGCGACGAUCCGUAGCUGGUCUGAGAGGAUGAUCAGCCACACUGGAACUGAGACACGGUCCAGACUCCUACGGGAGGCAGCAGUGGGGAAUAUUGGACAAUGGGCGCAAGCCUGAUCCAGCCAUACCGCGUGGGUGAAGAAGGCCUUCGGGUUGUAAAGCCCUUUUGUUGGGAAAGAAAAGCAGCAGGUUAAUACCCCGCUGUUCUGACGGUACCCAAAGAAUAAGCACCGGCUAACUUCGU
rnacentral:rRNA from 1 species